UACGGGGGGGGGCAAGCGUUGUUCGGAAUUACUGGGCGUAAAGGGCUCGUAGGCGGCCAACUAAGUCAGACGUGAAAUCCCUAGGCUCAACCUAGGAACUGCGUCUGAUACUGGAUGGCUUGAAUCCGGGAGAGGGAUGCAGAAUUCCAGGUGUAGCGGUGAAAUGCGUAGAUAUCUGGAGGAAUACCGGUGGCGAAGGCGGCAUCCUGGACCGGCAUUGACGCUGAGGAGCGAAAGCCAGGGGAGCAAACAGG
rnacentral:rRNA from 1 species